GAAUUCGAUUAGAGUUUGAUCAUGGCUCAGGACGAACGCUGGCGGCGUGCCUAAUACAUGCAAGUCGAGCGAGCGAAGCUGGCGGAAACCUUCGGGUGGAAGCUGGUGGAGCUAGCGGCGGAUGGGUGAGUAACACGUAGGCAACCUACCUGUAAGACUGGGAUAACUCCGGGAAACCGGGGCUAAUACCGGAUAACACUCUAGACCGCAUGGUCUAGAGUUAAAAGAUGGCUUAGGCUAUCACUUACAGAUGGGCCUGCGGCGCAUUAGCUAGUUGGUGGGGUAAUGGCCUACCAAGGCGACGAUGCGUAGCCGACCUGAGAGGGUGACCGGCCACACUGGGACUGAGACACGGCCCAGACUCCUACGGGAGGCAGCAGUAGGGAAUCUUCCGCAAUGGACGCAAGUCUGACGGAGCAACGCCGCGUGAGUGAGGAAGGUCUUCGGAUCGUAAAACUCUGUUGUUAGAGAAGAACACGUACCGUUUGAAUAAGGCGGUACCUUGACGGUAUCUAACGAGAAAGCCCCGGCUAACUACGUGCCAGCAGCCCGCGGUAAUACGUAGGGGGCAAGCGUUGUCCGGAAUUAUUGGGCGUAAAGCGCGCGCAGGCGGUCUCUUAAGUCUGAUGUGAAAGCCCACGGCUCAACCGUGGAGGGUCAUUGGAAACUGGGAGACUUGAGUGUAGGAGAGGAAAGUGGGAAUUCCACGUGUAGCGGUGAAAUGCGUAAAGAUGUGGAGGAACACCAGUGGCCGAAGGCGACUUUUUGGCCUAUAACUGACGCUGAGGCGCCGAAAGCGUGGGGAGCCAACAGGAUUAGAUACCCUGGUAGUCCACCCCGUAAACCAUGAAUGCUUAGGUGUUAGGGGUUUCGACACCCCUUAAUGCCGGCGUUA
rnacentral:rRNA from 1 species